AACCGAAUACACGUCUCCGGCAGGGGAAGACCGGUCGAAGUCCGGCGCUGACCCGCAACGGUGGGCCGCCGCAUCCGCGGUGGCAAGCCCGAACACCUGCCUGAGUGCGUUCGGCUCG
rnacentral:ncRNA from 2 species